GCAGAGAAUUGAAUCAAUUAAGGUUGUUACCAGGGAGAGAGAAUGCUCAUGACAUAAAGGAGAGCCUGUUGGAAUGUAAACCAGGGCGUUUGUGCACUGCAGGUCUUAUUCUGUUCAUCUUUAGUGUUGUGUGUAGUAUGCCAGCAUUCCUUGAUGGCCUUGCUACAGUGGCCCUCCGACCACAGAGCUGAAGACAACAAUGUAUGUGGGACUCUAAUAGAAUUUCUGCCGCCGGGAGCAGGAUAGACUGAGGUUCCAUACUGAUGCUGGAUUUCCCUGACCUGGCAGACUGCUGUGCUCUUCCCUCUGAGUCUGAUGAACUGUAUCCCCCUUAGAUUAACCUCUACCCCCGACUCCAAAUCUCCAGGAUCCCCGGAUUUCAGACAGCUUUCUCCUCCACCAUCUGUCGAUUUAUCUCAGCCUCGCCGGCUUUGGCGAAAGGCUCUGGAGAGAUGGGAAAUCGCGGAGUGAAGACGUGCCAGCGAUCAAUCUUCUGCUGUGCUCCGUCACGAUGGGCCUGCAGCAUCAACACCCUUAUCCAGCCCUGAAAAGCCAUUUCACCCCUCCGUGCCCACCACAGCCCUGCUUCACACCUCUCAUAGAUGUCUAAUCCCAUUUACAGCCAUGGAUCAUAUGGGCCUCAUUUUAGCCCAUACCAUACUGCUGAGAUCCUAAGCCACCUCAUUCCCUAUAUACUAUCUCAAGAAUGUAUCUUCACUUUAUUCAUUGUUGGCCUUUAGUGCAGAUGUUAUCAUGAAGUUUGUCCAUACAUUGUGGCAAUGUGUUGGUGAAAACAAACAAAGAAAACCCCUGUUGUGUGUUCUACAUUCUUCCAUGUGGGCAAAAGAGGAAGUACCUGAAAACGGCUCUUGUAAAAGGUUUAGGUAUCUCUCUGAGGUGCUUGAUCAGUAGAAAGAGUUUAACCUAUCCUGUCAGACUAAAUUAAUUAGGUAAUUAAAAGCUCAGGUGGAAUUAGAACUACUGGAAGAUACCUUAGUAGGCUCCAGGCAAUAGUCCUUAAGUUCCUUUGGUAAAGGGGCAUAUUAGGGUUGAUGGGCUAUUAGAUAGCAUGACGGAACAAAUACAUUUAAAAGAUUGGAUGAAGUCAGCUAAAACCACCAAUGUCUGCUUUAGAAUAUAUACUCUACGACUUCAGUAUCAAAUAAAUGUACAUUUUCCAUUAAGGGUUCACUCUACAGGAUUGAGUUUACCUGUAGAUUUUCAAUUUGACACACAGCAGGAAGACAAAGUCAUUUCAGCAACAUAUUAAAGAUGUAUAACAUUUGGGAGAUCAAUUUCUAACCACAAAGAGAGACAUAAUUAAAUCCAG